GGGUUGUGAGGUUAAGCGACUAAGCGUACACGGUGGAUGCCCUGGCAGUCAGAGGCGAUGAAGGACGUGCUAAUCUGCGAUAAGCGUCGGUAAGGUGAUAUGAACCGUUAUAACCGGCGAUUUCCGAAUGGGGAAACCCAGUGUGUUUCGACACACUAUCAUUAACUGAAUCCAUAGGUUAAUGAGGCGAACCGGGGGAACUGAAACAUCUAAGUACCCCGAGGAAAAGAAAUCAACCGAGAUUCCCCCAGUAGCGGCGAGCGAACGGGGAGCAGCCCAGAGCCUGAAUCAGUGUGUGUGUUAGUGGAAGCGUCUGGAAAGGCGUGCGAUACAGGGUGACAGCCCCGUACACAAAAAUGCACAUGCUGUGAGCUCGAUGAGUAGGGCGGGACACGUGGUAUCCUGUCUGAAUAUGGGGGGACCAUCCUCCAAGGCUAAAUACUCCUGACUGACCGAUAGUGAACCAGUACCGUGAGGGAAAGGCGAAAAGAACCCCGGCGAGGGGAGUGAAAAAGAACCUGAAACCGUGUACGUACAAGCAGUGGGAGCACGCUUAGGCGUGUGACUGCGUACCUUUUGUAUAAUGGGUCAGCGACUUAUAUUCUGUAGCAAGGUUAACCGAAUAGGGGAGCCGAAGGGAAACCGAGUCUUAACUGGGCGUUAAGUUGCAGGGUAUAGACCCGAAACCCGGUGAUCUAGCCAUGGGCAGGUUGAAGGUUGGGUAACACUAACUGGAGGACCGAACCGACUAAUGUUGAAAAAUUAGCGGAUGACUUGUGGCUGGGGGUGAAAGGCCAAUCAAACCGGGAGAUAGCUGGUUCUCCCCGAAAGCUAUUUAGGUAGCGCCUCGUGAAUUCAUCUCCGGGGGUAGAGCACUGUUUCGGCAAGGGGGUCAUCCCGACUUACCAACCCGAUGCAAACUGCGAAUACCGGAGAAUGUUAUCACGGGAGACACACGGCGGGUGCUAACGUCCGUCGUGAAGAGGGAAACAACCCAGACCGCCAGCUAAGGUCCCAAAGUCAUGGUUAAGUGGGAAACGAUGUGGGAAGGCCCAGACAGCCAGGAUGUUGGCUUAGAAGCAGCCAUCAUUUAAAGAAAGCGUAAUAGCUCACUGGUCGAGUCGGCCUGCGCGGAAGAUGUAACGGGGCUAAACCAUGCACCGAAGCUGCGGCAGCGACGCUUAUGCGUUGUUGGGUAGGGGAGCGUUCUGUAAGCCUGCGAAGGUGUGCUGUGAGGCAUGCUGGAGGUAUCAGAAGUGCGAAUGCUGACAUAAGUAACGAUAAAGCGGGUGAAAAGCCCGCUCGCCGGAAGACCAAGGGUUCCUGUCCAACGUUAAUCGGGGCAGGGUGAGUCGACCCCUAAGGCGAGGCCGAAAGGCGUAGUCGAUGGGAAACAGGUUAAUAUUCCUGUACUUGGUGUUACUGCGAAGGGGGGACGGAGAAGGCUAUGUUGGCCGGGCGACGGUUGUCCCGGUUUAAGCGUGUAGGCUGGUUUUCCAGGCAAAUCCGGAAAAUCAAGGCUGAGGCGUGAUGACGAGGCACUACGGUGCUGAAGCAACAAAUGCCCUGCUUCCAGGAAAAGCCUCUAAGCAUCAGGUAACAUCAAAUCGUACCCCAAACCGACACAGGUGGUCAGGUAGAGAAUACCAAGGCGCUUGAGAGAACUCGGGUGAAGGAACUAGGCAAAAUGGUGCCGUAACUUCGGGAGAAGGCACGCUGAUAUGUAGGUGAAGUCCCUCGCGGAUGGAGCUGAAAUCAGUCGAAGAUACCAGCUGGCUGCAACUGUUUAUUAAAAACACAGCACUGUGCAAACACGAAAGUGGACGUAUACGGUGUGACGCCUGCCCGGUGCCGGAAGGUUAAUUGAUGGGGUCAGCGCAAGCGAAGCUCUUGAUCGAAGCCCCGGUAAACGGCGGCCGUAACUAUAACGGUCCUAAGGUAGCGAAAUUCCUUGUCGGGUAAGUUCCGACCUGCACGAAUGGCGUAAUGAUGGCCAGGCUGUCUCCACCCGAGACUCAGUGAAAUUGAACUCGCUGUGAAGAUGCAGUGUACCCGCGGCAAGACGGAAAGACCCCGUGAACCUUUACUAUAGCUUGACACUGAACAUUGAGCCUUGAUGUGUAGGAUAGGUGGGAGGCUUUGAAGUGUGGACGCCAGUCUGCAUGGAGCCGACCUUGAAAUACCACCCUUUAAUGUUUGAUGUUCUAACGUUGACCCGUAAUCCGGGUUGCGGACAGUGUCUGGUGGGUAGUUUGACUGGGGCGGUCUCCUCCUAAAGAGUAACGGAGGAGCACGAAGGUUGGCUAAUCCUGGUCGGACAUCAGGAGGUUAGUGCAAUGGCAUAAGCCAGCUUGACUGCGAGCGUGACGGCGCGAGCAGGUGCGAAAGCAGGUCAUAGUGAUCCGGUGGUUCUGAAUGGAAGGGCCAUCGCUCAACGGAUAAAAGGUACUCCGGGGAUAACAGGCUGAUACCGCCCAAGAGUUCAUAUCGACGGCGGUGUUUGGCACCUCGAUGUCGGCUCAUCACAUCCUGGGGCUGAAGUAGGUCCCAAGGGUAUGGCUGUUCGCCAUUUAAAGUGGUACGCGAGCUGGGUUUAGAACGUCGUGAGACAGUUCGGUCCCUAUCUGCCGUGGGCGCUGGAGAACUGAGGGGGGCUGCUCCUAGUACGAGAGGACCGGAGUGGACGCAUCACUGGUGUUCGGGUUGUCAUGCCAAU
rnacentral:rRNA from 1 species